rnacentral:rRNA from 1 species
AUUGAACGCUGGCGGCAUGCCUUACACAUGCAAGUCGAACGGCAGCGCGGGAGCAAUCCUGGCGGCGAGUGGCGAACGGGUGAGUAAUACAUCGGAACGUGCCCAAUCGUGGGGGAUAACGCAGCGAAAGCUGUGCUAAUACCGCAUACGAUCUAUGGAUGAAAGCAGGGGAUCGCAAGACCUUGCGCGAAUGGAGCGGCCGAUGGCAGAUUAGGUAGUUGGUGAGGUAAAGGCUCACCAAGCCUUCGAUCUGUAGCUGGUCUGAGAGGACGACCAGCCACACUGGGACUGAGACACGGCCCAGACUCCUACGGGAGGCAGCAGUGGGGAAUUUUGGACAAUGGGCGAAAGCCUGAUCCAGCCAUGCCGCGUGCAGGAUGAAGGCCUUCGGGUUGUAAACUGCUUUUGUACGGAACGAAACGGUCUUUUCUAAUAAAGAAGGCUAAUGACGGUACCGUAAGAAUAAGCACCGGCUAACUACGUG